rnacentral:rRNA from 1 species
AGAGUGAACGCUGGCGGUAGGCCUAACACAUGCAAGUCGAACGGCAGCACAGUAGGAGCUUGCUCUUACGGGUGGCGAGUGGCGGACGGGUGAGGAAUACAUCGGAAUCUACCUUUUGGUGGGGGAUAACGUAGGGAAACUUACGCUAAUACCGCAUACGCCCUUCGGGGGAAAGCCGGGGACCAGCAAUGGCCUGGUGCUGAUAGAUGAGCCGAUGUCGGAUUAGCUAGUUGGUGAGGUAAUGGCUCACCAAGGCGACGAUCCGUAGCUGGUCUGAGAGGAUGAUCAGCCACACCUGGAACUGAGACACGGUCCAGACUCCUACGGGAGGCAGCAGUAGGGGAAUACGUUGGACAAUGGGCGCAAAGCCUGAUCCAGCCAUACCGCGGUGGUGAAGAAGGCCUUACGGGUUGUAAACGUCCCGUUUUGUUAGGAAAGUAAAGCGAUUACGGUUAAGUUACCGGUAGUUC